CAGACUGUGCAUGAGAGCACAAUCACACAAAAGAUUGAAAAAGAGGAGAGUGAAUGAGGGGCCACUUUGGUGUCCUGCCACAGGCUGGGCACAGCCUCAGUUUGCAAUCAGAGGGCUCCCCUGGUGCAGUCCAUGGCUGCUUGGCAGAGGGCUGCUGCGGCUGGCAGGGUGGCUCUGUCCUCAGCAGCAGUCAUCUCCUCGGCAUCUCCGGCUGGAGCUCGCUGAAGAGCGCACAGGAAUGCUGCUUAGGACUCCUGCCUGACCUUGGAGUAGCACCAAAGUCCUGGAACGCUGGGAUGGAAGUGUUAGCUCCUGAGAAGAAAACACAUGAAAAGAAUGAAGAUUUGCAACAGUAUCCUCAGAAGCCUGCAGGCUGUAAGAAAAUGCUUAGGAAUUGCUGCUUGAUAAAGCGAAUUUUUGCCUGGAAAAGUCUGAGCUCUAAAGUCUGGAUCGAUUUCUGCUUUUAAUGAGCCAUGACACUUCAAGAAAUGUAAAGCAUGUUUGAAUUCACCAUGGGUUGUGUUGAUUUUUUUGUUUAUUUUUUUUUGUUUUUUGUUGGGGUUUUUUUGUUGUUGUUGUUUUGGGGUUUUGGUGGUUUUGGUUUUGGGUUUUUAAUAAAAUUUGUUUUGUUUCUUGUUUAAUUUUCU
rnacentral:lncRNA from 1 species